GCGGGGGUCGGAUAGCCCGGUCAAUUCCACUGGAUUGAGGUUCCAGUUCCUUAGUGGAUACGGGGGUUCAAAUCCCCCCUCCCGCA
rnacentral:tRNA from 1 species